CGCUUGCGCAGUUUCACACCGGGCUGGCGCGGCGUAAACAACCGGCUGGAGUCGGUUUAUGGAUUUCUCUGAGGACGGAUUUUGGAAUUAGCUCAGUGGCUGUCCAGAUCUCAUCAAAGGAGCCACCGCGUGCGGUGACUUGAGAGAAUCUUUGUUGGCUGGUGCGGAGGGAUCUGGACUCCGAGAUUGUGGUGUGAGAUGUGUUUUCUUAUGAAACCCGACACUUGUGCAAAGUUAAUUCCCGCCGAGAGGGAGAGAGUUGUACGUGAAACCCACGGUUGAUCUCAAAGUCGUGAGAGUGCUGGGAUUACAGGCGUGAGCCACUGCGCCGGCCUGACCUUGUAACUUUCUUUGUGAGGCUAUUCUGUGUUCACCUGUGACUACUGGAUGAGGUGACUACAGGAGAAAGCUGGUUGCGACCAGGAAGAACUGAGAUGGAUGAAUCACAGACACCUGAGGUAGGGCGACAUCAUCCUGAACUUUAGCUGUGUGCAUAGGAGCAGUGAGAGGUGACUCUCUUGUGUAUCAUUGUGUGAUUGAAUGCAAGAGACCAGAGCUGAAUGAGCGUGAUGGAAGCUAGUACCCAUUUUCUGCCAGAAGGGACAGAUCGCUGGUAAAGGAUUUUUUAACCUUGCUGGUAAAAAAUUUUUUAAUCCUCUCUCUCUGCCUCUCUCGGUCUCCGUCUCUCCCCCCCUUUCCUCUCUCUCUCUUUUCUCCCCUCUCUAUAUUUCUCUCCCCACUCCUCCUUGGUGUUGUCCUGCAACAUCCCCCCGUCACCAAUAAAGACCUUUAGUACAAGCCUUGGUGGUCUAUGAGAUCUCUGCGGGUGGAGUUUGGUGUCAGAAGCGGGAUGUAAUUAGGGAACACUCCCAAGGGUAGUUUCCACCUCUUCCAAGGGAUUUUAGCUCCUGGGAGCUCCUUAUCCUCUUCUCGCACUCCCGGUGCUGACCACCACAUCGGCUUGUGUCGAUUCGCCAAAGCACUCUAACCAGCACCCACCACCGGCCCCAUCCAGACUUGAAAAGCGAUUCUGCUGUGUCUGAUUGUGCUGUGUCCUAUGCGUGAGAUGGUUUGCACUUGAGACUGCCACUGGGAGGCGACAUGGAGUGAAAUCAGUGAAGUACAGUUGGCCCUUGUAUCUGUAGGUUCCCCCUCUGUGGAUUCAACCAACUCCAAUUAAAAAUAUAACAUUAAAAAAAAUGAUUGUGAC